rfam:Macleaya cordata isolate BLH2017 scaffold9079, whole genome shotgun sequence.
GAUUUUGUAAGAGAGCUUUCUUCAGUCCAUCACGGGUGGUGUUAAGAUUUAAUUUGCUGCCGGUUCAUUCAUCCAAAUACCAAGUAAUGAAUGGAUUGACUACUUGGUAAAUGAGUGAAUGAUACGGGAGAUAAAUUGAAUCUUUCUCAUUCCGUUCUUGGACUGAAGGGAGCUCCCAUCAAACUCCCC